UUAUUUGUAAUCUAUGCAAACUGAUUUGAUGAAAACGAUUGGGUGUGGCUUCGUUUUGACUAAAGUGGCAAAAUAUAGUUCUAUGAUUUUCUCUGUUCAUCGUGCGGUAGAGGGAAAAAGGUAGGAAAUAAAGAAAAUCAUGCAAGGAUGAUUACAAAAGGACAUGCGUGAAAGAAACACUGGCAAAAAGAGAAAGCGAAAAGCAAAUUGGCAAGUGAUAAUCUAUCAUUUAGAUAUGAAAUCAUCAUGAAAAGCUCUCUUCUCUGUUUAUCUAAGCGUGUUU
rnacentral:lncRNA from 1 species